rnacentral:rRNA from 1 species
GUAGUCCACGCCGUAAACGUUGGGCGCUAGGUGUGGGGGACCUUCCACGUCCUCUGUGCCGCAGCUAACGCAUUAAGCGCCCCGCCUGGGGAGUACGGCCGCAAGGCUAAAACUCAAAGGAAUUGACGGGGGCCCGCACAAGCGGCGGAGCAUGUGGCUUAAUUCGAAGCGACGCGAAGAACCUUACCAAGGCUUGACAUGAAGAGUAAACCGGCAGAGAUGUCGGGUCCGCAAGGGAUUCUUCACAGGUGGUGCAUGGUUGUCGUCAGCUCGUGUCGUGAGAUGUUGGGUUAAGUCCCGCAACGAGCGCAACCCUCGUCCUAUGUUGCCAGCGGGUUAUGCCGGGGACUCAUAGGAGACUGCCGGGGUCAACUCGGA